rnacentral:misc_RNA from 1 species
UCCUCCUUACAGAGGCAGUUUGUCUCGAGUCCCCGGCAUUAUCCGCUGGUAACAAAACAUGAGGGUUGCGCUCGUUGCGGGACUUAACCCAACAUUUCACAACACGAGCUGACGACAGCCAUGCACCACCUGUGUACCACCCUCGAAGGCGGCUCCUUUUGGGGAGAUUGCAGGUACAUGUCAAGCCCUGGUAAGGUUCUUCGCGUUGCAUCGAAUUAAGCCACAUGCUCCACCGCUUGUGCGGGCCCCCGCCAAUUCCUUUGAGUUUCAACCUUGCGGCCGUAGUCCCCAGGCGGUUCACUUAAUGCGUUAGCUGCGGCACCGAGAAAACCCGACACCUAGUGAACAUCGUUUAGGGCCAAGAAUAC